rnacentral:rRNA from 1 species
GACGAACGCUGGCGGCGUGCUUAAUACAUGCAAGUCGAACGGAAAGGUCCUGCGCUUGUUGCUUUCUCGAUAGGCGAAGGGGUGAGUAACACGCGUGGAACACGCCCUUGUCUGUGGGAUAACUUCAGGAAACAGGGGCGAAUACCGGAGAUGAUCUCCUGAACCACGGUGUUGGAUGGAAAGAGUCGGCUGUUGGGGAUGUUCUCGAGGCUUAUCAGCUUGUUGGUGGGGUAGUGGCUUUCCAAGGUUUUGAAGGGUAGGCUGCCUGAGAGGGUUGCCGGCCACAUUGGGACUGCGAUACGGCCCAGACUCCUACGGGAGGCAGCAGUGGGGAAUAUUGCACAAUGGGCGGACGCCUGAUGCAGCAACGCCGCGUGCGGGAUAACGGCCUUCGGGUUGUAAACCGAUUUCGCCUGUGACGAAGAGUGAGUGACGGUAAUGGGUAAAGAAGCACCAGCUAACUACGUG